CCAGACUCCUACGGGAGGCAGCAGUGAGGAAUAUUGGUCAAUGGCCGAGAGGCUGAACCAGCCAAGUCGCGUGAGGGAAGAAUGUCCUAUGGAUUGUAAACCUCUUUUGUCAGGGAGCAAAGUCACCCACGUGUGGGUGUUGGAGAGUACCUGAAGAAAAAGCAUCGGCUAACUCCGUGCCAGCAGCCGCGGUAAUACGGAGGAUGCGAGCGUUAUCCGGAUUUAUUGGGUUUAAAGGGUGCGUAGGCGGGACCUUAAGUCAGCGGUAAAAUUGCGGUGCUCAACGCCGUAGAGCCGUUGAAACUGGGGUUCUUGAGUGAGCGAGAAGUAUGCGGAAUGCGUGGUGUAGCGGUGAAAUGCAUAGAUAUCACGCAGAACCCCGAUUGCGAAGGCAGCAUACCGGCGCUCAACUGACGCUCAUGCACGAAAGCGUGGGUAUCGAACAGGAUUAGAUACCCGAGUA
rnacentral:rRNA from 1 species